rnacentral:ncRNA from 1 species
GAAUAGAGGCGCGGUCUUUAUGAUAAUUUGUCGCAGAGGUUUAAGCGGCAAAGGUAAAGGAAAGAUCGCCGAAGAAAGUAAAUUUCCUCAAAAUUUGCUUAUCUGGGCGCAAGGGAAACACCUUUGCGACUGUCGCGGGUUUGUUUCCGCGUUGCGCUAUUGA